rnacentral:rRNA from 1 species
UACGAAGGGGGCUAGCAUUGCUCGGAAUUACUGGGCGUAAAGCGCACGUAGGCGGAUCUUUAAGUCAGGGGUGAAAUCCCAAGGCUCAACCUUGGAACUGCCUUUGAUACUGGGGAUCUCGAGUCCGGAAGAGGGGAGUGGAACUGCGAGUGUAGAGGUGAAAUUCGUAGAUAUUCGGAGGAACACCAGUGGCGAAGGCGGCUCACUGGUCCAUUACUGACGCUGAGGUGCGAAAGCGUGGGGAGCAAACAGG